rnacentral:rRNA from 1 species
UACGAAGGGGGCUAGCGUUGUUCGGAAUUACUGGGCGUAAAGCGCACGUAGGCGGCUUUGUAAGUUAGAGGUGAAAGCCCAGAGCUCAACUCUGGAACUGCCUUUAAGACUGCAUCGCUUGAAUUGUGGAGAGGUAAGUGGAAUUCCGAGUGUAGAGGUGAAAUUCGUAGAUAUUCGGAAGAACACCAGUGGCGAAGGCGACUUACUGGACACAUAUUGACGCUGAGGUGCGAAAGCGUGGGGAGCAAACAGG